UUUAAUUUUGUAAAAUUCAUUUAACCUGCACUUGGUCGCCCCUAUUCUCUGAAUGGUUAUGGCGAUAUCAUCAUUAUCGUUACUUGUACCAACGCUAAACCCUUCUUAUUCCCUUUCUCGCCUGUCAUACCCUAACAUUAUAUCCCGUGUCCACACUAAAGACAAGUAGUCAAUUCAGGCCAUCAGAUUAUAGUGGACCCACAUCAAUCCAACUGCUCACAAUGACCGACAGCCUCUCCAUCUCCAUUUCAGGUUUCCUCUUCAACUGGCUUCUGCUUCCGCCGUAUUUGCUCCAUUUCUUGGAUUCGGAGUCCGUAUUUGGUCGGUCGGUCCCGCACAGCUCCCUCUCACUCCAAUUGUCACCCAACAAGACCAAUUGCUUAAUCAAGGCACAGAACAAGAAGAGGAUGAGAAAUUGAAACAAGAAUUUGAGAAUUGGAAAUCGAAAACGUACGCAUUGACCGUGCCUUUGAGGGCAAUUACUUUUCUUGAGAAUUGAAGUUUGGUAAUGUAAUUUGUUCUCCAUCUGUGUUCCCUUUGUAGUCAUUUCAUAACUAAAUUGAUUGACUGUACAGUGCAUUUCAACAUAGCAUAUUUAACCGUUUUAACAGUUAUUUGGACCGUCUUCAGAGCUAACAUCAACAAACUCAUUCAUAUGCUUAAUAAUGAACGAAUAGUCUUGGAUCGAUGUUUUGCAGCAAGAGCAACACGACACAAUCUGGAUUCAACCUCCUCCUUUCUAACAGGGGAUUUCGAUUUGAGUUACUUUGUGCUCAAGCAAAUUCACAUCAUAGUUUUGAUUCUUUAGAUAUGAAUUCAUCACUUUACAUAUAUCAGAUUAAUGUGUAACAAAAUUUUUAAUUUACUGCGAAAAGAAUAUGCACUAAAAAAUGAUUUCAAGACUAUUUGACUACAAAAAGCAGCUGUCAGAGUGCACUAAAAAUUUCUGUAGGAUAUUUUGUAGCUGUUUAAUAUGUUAUGAUGGGCAUAUAAUUCUCAAAUUUUGAUGCCUCUCAGCGAAAAUCUAUCAAAGUUACAGAUGAUAUCACGUAAAACAUGCAUGGCUCAGGCUCAGGCUCAGGUAAGAAAGCCACAGAAAAGGAAAAUCUCACUGUCACGACUCACGUCACGCAUCAUUCAAGUGAUGGAUUUAACAAGACUGCUUAUGUUCUAUCAAAUUCCUCUGCCUCUCAGAAGAUAACUUUUCUGGGCCAAAUUUCUCAUCUAAAGCAUAUUAUGCCCCAAAGUCACAGAUAACAAAAUGGGGCACUACCGAUUAUGAAAGAGAACUAGUAGUUGUCAGAAGCCUAAGCCAAAUUCCGGUAGUAAGAAGAGGCCUUUCUUGAGUUUAGAUUAUGUGUUCGAGUUUUAAUAAAUGCCUAAGUUAAUAAUAAUAACAACAGUAAUAAUAAACUAAAAAGCAUAAUUACUAUUGAAUGGUAAAAAAAAAAAUGAAAAUGUGUGAACUCCAAUAACCACCCCAGUGGCGAAUUUUGGAGAGGGCUAGGCCGGGCUUCUUUUGUCACUGAGCAGUGUCAAUAUCGUCUAACAACUAACUUGAUUUUGAUAUGACAAACACACGGUGUGUCUCUCAUGUCUCACCCAUGUCUCACCAUGAUGGAGAAUUUUUCUAAUGCAUGAAGUAAGCUUUGAUAUGUGGGUUAGCUUGGAGAACAUAUCUCAAAAUGAAGAAGAUGGGGAGUUAAUGGGAAGAAACAGUCCAGUAGUUUAUAAUUCUGUCGACGAGCUGUAUCUCUAACAUGGUCAAAAUUUAUGUGAAUAAGGACAGGGAAUCGUCAUUCCUCUUUUCCUUUUUAUACCGGGAUAUCUCUCAACCUUUAUAUGUUGCCCGCUGGAGAUCUCCUUCUAAUAACUAAAAUAAAAAUUUCAUCCACUCAAAUAAAUGUUGACCAAGCUUUCACAAGAAAAAGUAACAUCUUUAGUGAAGUAAUUUACAGUUCCUUAUCAUCUUCGUGUGAGUCUAUCAGUAUGAUCCAAAAACAUAAUAAAUCUUGUUAGAUCCUGUUUAUUGAUGUUUGAAUGUUGUUCAUUGUGCAAUGUAGAAAUGAUGACGUGAAGUUUCUUUGGUCAUCAAUUAGUGAGAUCUUGUUUGAAGUUGUUUUCUGAAAUGAACUGCAAAAUGGUAGUUUUUUUUUUUUUCUUGGGUGCAUUUGAUGGCUCUUUUCUCCUCAUUUUAAGCAUGUGUCUGCUUGGAAUGGGAAGGAAUAGGCUUCAGAGUUGUUAUAUAUGUUGACAUGCUCUGGUCAUUACAAAAUAUGUUCAAAUUGGAAAUUAGAAUGAGAUAUUUGUUGAUGCUUUUUGAGAGAUCUGCAUUCUAUGCACCAUAACAUGAUGAAUGAAAAUGGGUUUAAGGACUGGAAAGAUCUGUGGCUGCCCGAGCUUGCAGGAAGGAUUUCAAUGGUUAAUUCUCCCAGAGAGGUUAUUGGUACAGUUUUGAAGUAUAUGGGAGCAUCAUACAAUUCAAAUGACAUUGAUUAGCAAGCUGCUGCUGGAAGGAUUGCUGUUCAGCAGAAUCUGGCAUUACUGGGAAACCAGGUACUCUUAAAGAAACGAUAUCUGGUCAAUGCAUAUUAUUGGGUGACGGCUGAUUUUGUUUGUAAAGUGUGCCUUUUCAUACCUAUGAAUGCAUAUGUUAGUGUUGUGUUCUCCUUUCCAUAAAUAUGAAUGCAUAUGUUGGUGUUCUUUUCUGAGAUGGAUGCAAUAAAGGCUUUUUCUUCUAAAUUUAGUUGAAGAAAUGGCAAGGAAUGUGAGAUUCUAUCUCAUUAAAUUAACAAAAACCCAAAACAGUGAAAACCCAUAUUAUGUGGAUGAAUUGGCGACAUUUGGCUUGUUUCCUGAACGUGAAUUAGCAAGCAAUAGAGACUAAAAAAAUGGAGUGAUAAUAACAAGUCAUUGUCAUUUGAUGAAUGCAUUUUUAAGCAAAAAUAGGUUUGUAACUGAAUAAAUUUGUCUGGCAUGCCAAUAUCAAAAAAUUAAAUUAUGUGGUUAUGAGCUGUAAUGAAGGGGGAUUGUAGGUGCAAUCAGAUCGAUCCAAGAAAGUUCAACAAAGUUCUGGUUUGGUGUAGUGAAAUUGGUUUGUGCAACUUGAGUCUUUCAGAUGAACAAUGACGAGUUUUCAUUUAAAAAUGUUAUAAAUCUGCCAUGCAUAGUAUUCUAGUAGAAUCAUCUAUAAAUUCAAGUUAUUGAAAUUGUCUAUUUGUCCAGUUUGAGUUAAGGACGCAUGUAAUAUGAAAAAUUGUUGUCGAAUCCCCUUCAUCUUUGAUGGAAAGAUGAAAUAAAAACAAAUUGGUGAAAAUGGUAUUGGUACCUGAGGCUAUGUAAUCUAAUUCAAAAACUGCACCAUCAAAACGAUUACAUAAGUCUCAGAAGAAUCAAAUAUCAGUUUGCAAAAUAUCAAUUGCUGGAGGUUUGAUUCUAACUUCCGCUCUUCAUUUUUAUGGGCAUAUUGUGUUGUACUUGCAUCCGAAAAUCAUAUUUUAGUUUACUUGCACUCAAUGCUUGGAUUAAAGUUUUUUUUUGGGGGGGGGGGGAUUGAAGAAGACUAAAAUUACACCAAAAAAGAGUUGAGCGAGAGCGGGUUUUGUCUUCAUUUAAGGAGCUCUUUAUAAAUUUUGGGAUUUUUUUCCUGAGAAAAUUUAUGCCAACUCAUUCUUUGCUGUUGUCGAAUAUUGUAGGUUAGCUAAUAUUUGAUCAAUCCUAUAGGGAGGGCUUUAAGAUGUCUAACAACAUGUAGAAUGCCUCUGCUUCCCCCACAAUUUUUAUCUUAUACAAUUUUUAUCUAUAAACAGUAUUUGCCAGACCUUAACCGUUCAGAUUCCCCUUCUCGACUAUCAUACCCUACACCCCAUCUCCGUGUCUCCGAUAAACAGUGCUCAAUUAAGGCCAUCAGAUUAUCCCGGUCCCACAUUGAUCAACGGCUCACAAUGACCGACAACCUCUGUCUCCAUUACAAGCUCCCUCUUCAACUCGCUUCUGCUUCCAUCCUGCUCUUUCUCGGAUUCGGAGCCCGUAUAUGCUCAGCUGGUCCCACAAAGCUCCCUCUCACUCCAGCUGUCAACCGACAAGACCAAUUGCCUUAUCAAGACACAGAACAAAAAGAGGAUGAGAAAUUGAAACAAGAAUUUGAGAAUUGGAAAUCGAAAACGUACGCAUUGACUGUACCUUUGAGAGUUGUUUCUCUUCAGAAUUCAGUGCCUCAAUCUUGGGUUAAGGAUUUUAUGCGAAGUCAAGGAAAGUGAUUGAAGUUUCAGAUGAAUUUGUGUGCUAGCAUUGGUGGGAUCUUUAACAAUUUAU
rnacentral:lncRNA from 1 species